GAUAAACGCUGGCGGCGUGCCUAACACAUGCAAGUCGAACGCCCUUUUGCGCAAGUGAGAGGGAGUGGCGGACGGGUGAGUACCACGUGGGUACCUACCUUGAGGUGAGGAAUACCACCGAGAAAUCGGUGACAAGACCGCAUACGCUCGGGCAACCGAGCAAAGUCAUGCAAAUGACGCCACAAGAUGAGCCUGCGCCUGAUUAGCUGGUUGGUGAGGAACAGCUCACCAAGGCGACGAUCAGUAGCUGGUCUGAGAGGAUGAUCAGCCACACUGGGAUUGAGAACGGCCCAGACUCCGUA
rnacentral:rRNA from 1 species